rnacentral:rRNA from 1 species
GAUAUCUCGGCUCUCGCAUCGAUGAAGAACGUAGCGAAAUGCGAUACCUGGUGUGAAUUGCAGAAUCCCGCGAACCAUCGAGUCUUUGAACGCAAGUUGCGCCCGAGGCCUCUUGGCCAAGGGCACGCCUGCCUGGGCGUCACGCCAAACACGCUCCCACCCCUCAUCGGGUGGGAUGCGGCAUGUGGCCCCCCGCCUCGUAAGAGUCGGUGGGCCAAAGAUGUGGCUGCCGGCGUAUCGUUCCGGACACAGCGCGUGGUGGGCGAA